rnacentral:rRNA from 1 species
GGAGGUUACUGCUAUCGGUGUUCGCCUAACCCAUGCGAGUCAUAUGUUCUUCGUGAACAUGGCGUACUGCUCAGUAACACGUGAAUAACCUGCCCUUGGGACCGGCAUAACCCCGGGAAACUGGGGAUAAUUCCGGAUACCGCAUAUAUGCUGGAAUGCUUUAUGCGUGAAAUGGAUUCUUCUGCCCAAGGAUGGAUCUGCGGCCUAUCAGGUAGUAGUGGGUGUAAUGUACCUACUACCCUACAACGGGUACGGGUUGUGAGAGCAAAAGCCCGGAAAUGGAUUCUGAGACAUGAAUCCAGGCCCUACGGGGCGCACCAGGCGCGAAAACUUUACAAUGCGGGAAACCGUGAUAAGGGGACACCGAGUGCCAGCAACAUUUGUUGGCUGUCCAGGUGUGUAAACUACACCUGUUAGCAAGGGCCGGGCAAAACCGGUGC